CCUGGUGCUUAUUGCGCGGUGGUACCACACCGAUCCAUCCCGAACUCGGUUGUGAAACGCUGUAGCGGCGAAGAUACUUGGGGGGUAGCCCUCUGGGAAAAUAGCUCGGUGCCAGGU
rnacentral:rRNA from 2 species